GUUCCGAGAAUCUUAAAAAGAUAGAUAGAUAGAAUACUCUUUAUUGGCACACCUCAGUAAAAAAUACAGCUUAAAGAAAAACAAUUGAUUAAUGAUAGAGGCAGACAACAGGCGGUUUUAUCGCUAAAGAGCGAUCUCUUCCAGACAACCUUUGGGUAGCGGAAACA